GGAGCAUCUUUAUAAUUCUUUUAUAAAUUUUACGGAGCGCAAGCUAUACUCUUGUAAACCAUUUGACGGUGGAUCCACUUUGAUGCUAGGAGAAAACGACACAUCGAGAUUACGAGAUACUGAUCAACAUAAUAACAAAAUUAAUCACGAGUUUCCCCUUAAUAACCAUAAAAUACAGUCGGAUUAUUUACAAUCCACGCCAGCCUUUUCCCCUCUCAAGAACUCACUAUACCCAAAAUACCCUCGCCCCCACUCCGGCGUGCCCCAGAUCCGGGUGGCCGGAAUCCCUCUUCCCCUCGUCCUCAAAGCGCGAGAGAACACAACCGACCUCCGAUCUCCGAUCUCCGAUCAUAGGCUUCAGCUCGGGCCCCAGCAGCUCAUGUACAUGGCCUUCUGGAGGGAGUCAUCGGCUUGCUUCCGGCGCUCCUCCGCGCCCCCGUCGCCGGAGAACAGGCCGAUCCCCAACCCGUUGGGCUGCACGAGCCCAGGCGGGGCGAGCCAUUCCUUGCCGGCGUUCCACUUGGUGCCCCAGUCCGUCUGGCCCUUUACCACCGUGACGCUCGCCGCCAUCCAAACCCGGUUCAAGUAACUCAUCCUCCUCCUCUUCUCUAUUUCCGACCUCAAAUCUCCGGGGAGUAUUCUCCGAUUCCGGCGAAGAGAUCAUGGCUCCAAGCUGAUUGCUGUGGGGUUGUCGUUCCUUCGAGGCUUCAGCAUUUGGGGCAGAGCUUAGAGCAGCAUGAGAGGAACUCUUCUAUGCGAGAUAUGUGUUGAAGGUAGGUUGUAUCAUCCUUGAAAGGAACUCAGCCUCGUUGAUUGAGCGCUUACGAAAAGAGGGAUGGGAGGAGACAGAGCACUCGUUCCUAGGCGACACACGACGGAUGCUGCGGGAGUGUCGUGCUAUCCAGAUCAGGCAUCUCCUUCAAGAGACAAAUCAAACUGUUGAUUGGGUCUCCUCAUUCGCUACUUAUCAUUCUGGAGAAUUUUUCUGGACCUAACAGUUCUCUAUUUCUUCUGUUUUGUGUAGCCUUUUUGCUAGUGAUGUUGCUGAUUGUGCUUAUGCGAGGGCAGCGUAAGCAUCCGAUGAACCCAAAAAAAGUUAUUUUUAUAGAAGCAUUUGUUGAUAUGGUAGAUUUUUUUAUUUAACCAUAUAUAUAUAUAUAUAAGUAAUUAGGAAUAUUACGAUGUUCAUACAAAUAAAAAAAAUAGAUAGCAUGUUACCUUUGUACAAUAUUUAGUGUACAUUUA